GUUGAAAGGACGAAGAUUUGCAACGAUAGACGAGAUAAAAGAAAAUUCGCAGACGGCGCCUCGCGCGAUCAAGCAAGAGGCGUACCAUGACUGCUUUCUGAAGUGGAAACGGCGUUGGGAGCAAUCUAUCAAUUAUAGAGGAGAGUAUGUCGGAGGAGACCACGCACAAUCAGUAAAAGGAGUCCACAUUGUAAUAGUGAAAUAUGCAGCUAAACUUUAUAAAACUGAAAUAUGGACGUGAAAAUGAUAAUAAGGUGCAACUAAGAGGAAAAACUGUCACCACAGCGUAACUAUAAUAAUGAUGCUUCAUCUUUAUUGAUCUCCAGCAAUAUAAACAUGUACAUGAAUGUAUAUAAACACCUGAGGAUGGGAGCAAGCCCGAAACCUGUUGUGUGACAAAUAAAUAACAUUUUAUUGUGACUGGUACGGUAGCGGAAAUUUUGCUACACCUUGUAAAGCAACAGUCGCGGAGUUCAACAGCAUCCACUAUGGAUAAAAUGCAUAUUUAUCUUUGUAUCUGAUGAUGAUGUAACAGCCAAA